rnacentral:misc_RNA from 1 species
AGCAAAAGACAUGUUAAGGAAGUUUUGAUUUUCAACUUAUUGUUUUGAUCAUCUUAAAUACCAAUUUAAACAAAGACCACUCAUUUGGUGCGCUGCUGCCCUACCCACACUACCACAGAAAUACACACACCAGAAAUAAAAAGAAAGGAGAAGAAUAUGAGAGGGGAGGUACUCUGAAAUGAGAUGGAUACUAUAGUGAUUAAAUAUGAUAAAUGAGCUUGAAAUAAGGUAUAUAUUGUUAGUAAAAGAGGGCCCCUAAGGAACAUAGCCUAUUCUCGUACACAAA